GGUGAGGUGGCAGAUAAAUGCGAUAGAUUUAAGCUCUAUCCAUGAAAUUACUUUUCUCUUGCUU
rnacentral:tRNA from 1 species